GGACCCGCACAAGUAGUGGAGCAUGUGGUUUAAUUCGAUGAUACGCGAGGAACCUUACCAGGGCUUAAAUGUAAGUUGCAUAAGCUAGAGAUAGCUUUUUUCUUCGGACCACUUACAAGGUGCUGCAUGGUUGUCGUCAGCUCGUGCCGUGAGGUGUCAGGUUAAGUCCUAUAACGAGCGCAACCCCUGUUGUUAGUUGCCAGCGAGUCAUGUCGGGAACUCUAACAAGACUGCCGGUGCAAACCGUGAGGAAGGUGGGGAUGACGUCAAAUCAUCACGGCCCUUACGUCCUGGCUACACACGUGCUACAAUGGUCGGUACAGAGAGCAGCCACUACGCGAGUAGGAGCGAA
rnacentral:rRNA from 1 species